rnacentral:rRNA from 1 species
UACAGAGGUCCCAAGCGUUACUGAGAAUCACUGGGUUUAAAGGGUGCGUAGGUGGUCCGUUAAGUCAGUUGUGAAAUCCCCGGGCUCAACCCGGGAACUGCUUCUGAUACUGGCGGACUUGAGGCCAGUAGAGGUCACUGGAACUGACGGUGGAGCGGUGAAAUGCGUAGAUAUCGUCAGGAACGCCGGUGGUGAAGACGGGGUGACUGGGCUGGUUCUGGACACUGAGGCACGAAAGCGUGGGGAGCGAACGGGG